rnacentral:rRNA from 1 species
GAUGAACGCUGGCGGCGUGCCUAAUACAUGCAAGUCGAGCGAACAGACGAGGAGCUUGCUCCUCUGACGUUAGCGGCGGACGGGUGAGUAACACGUGGAUAACCUACCUAUAAGACUGGGAUAACUUCGGGAAACCGGAGCUAAUACCGGAUAAUAUAUUGAACCGCAUGGUUCAAUAGUGAAAGACGGUUUUGCUGUCACUUAUAGAUGGUUCCGGGCUGCAUUAGCUAGUUGGUAAGGUAACGGCUUACCAAGGCAACGAUGCGUAGCCGACCUGAGAGGGUGAUCGGCCACACUGGAGCUGAGACACGGUCCAGACUCCUACGGGAGGCAGCAGUAGGGAAUCUGCCGCAAUGGGCGAAAGCCUGACGGAGCAACGCCGCGUGAGUGAUGAAGGUCUUCGGAUCGUAAAACUCUGUUAUUAGGGAAGAACAAAUGUGUAAGUAACUAUGCACGUCUUGACGGUACCUGGUCAGAAAGCCACGGCUAACUACGUG